ensembl:lncRNA
GGUUUCCACUAAAAAUCAUCUCUGUAGAAAGACCUUCCCUACCCACUUUGCCAAAGUAGGUACCCUACCCCACCACCUACCCUGGUUAGUACUAUCAGUGCAUUCUGCUCAUUAAAUUCUUAGUGCCCAUAACAAGCUAUAAUUAAUUAAUUAGUUUACUUGCUCAUUGUCUCAUUAAUCGCUAGACUGCAGAUACUUUGAGGGCAGGGAUUAUGUCCCUCUUAUAUCUCUAGUUCUUAGCACAUGCCUGGCACGUGGUAGCUGAUCACUAAACACUUUUUGAAUGGAUGACUGAAUUGCUAAAGGUUUGGAUCUCGUGCUAGCUCCCUAUCCAUGGUGUCUUUUUUCCAACCAGAAAUAAUGUCUCCUUUGUCUGAAUUCCUGUCGCUGUUUAUCUGGACUCCUUUCAUCGUUCCUGUCUUUGCCUCUUAGCAUUGUUUGUGGGUGUAUUGCAUCCUCCUAGUUCCUCAAGUUUCUGGAGCACUGUCUUCGUGAUCUUUUUACACUCCUGCUGUGUCUGGCACAGAAUAGGUGCUUGAUAAAUUCUGAUUGAUUUGAUUUGAAUAAUUGAAAGAGCUUUCAACAACAGGCAACAACAGCAAUAACAAAAAAUGUUAGGUUUAUUUAAACAUAAAACCUCAAUAAGCACUGGACCCCUUGCCAAAAAUCGGCAUGUUUCCCAGCCAUUCUCGAGGUCUUGGAGAACGGCCUAAACACCAAUCUCCACUGAUCCAAAUCGGCCCCAUUAAAUACUCCCUGGGCCUGUGAGAUGGAUGGCAUGUAAGCUGAGUCUUGACAGGUAGGGAGAAAAGAUCGCCUGCCUCCAGGUGCUCCUGGCCCUGCUAUGGAAACUUGCAAGGAGGAAACUUUGCUGUGAUCAGAAGGACUGAACGGGACUUCUUUUUCUGGGCCUUUUAGAAGUUUCUUCUGAUUAAAGAAAAAGCCUGGAUAUAUGUACAUACAUAUGGUGGGACUGCACUGAACACUUGGGGGAAAAGAAAAGUGUCUAUCUUGGCCAGGACAUUUAAAUGUGAAUGACUAUUAGCACUCUUAGUUCAUUUUGUUUUAUCUGUAAAACAUAAUGGUACAUACCUCACAGCAUUGUUAUAUUAAUUAUAUGUCUUAACUUUACGUAUGUACAGUAGCUGGUAAAUACGUGUUAAGUUCCUUUCCCUCUUCCCUCCCACUCCAGGUGAGAGCUCUACCUGUGACCCCUAGGAUGGGCCAGUUCUGGGUACAUGGCUACACUUUGUGAAAUGGGAAAAUGUGACUGAUGUAUGUGUGUAGUGUGUGUACAUAUGGCCCAUGGACAUGCAUGUGUCAUAUAAAGGGAAGCAUAUAUUUGCUAUGCAUUUUGAUGUAGUAAGUGAACAAUAAAAUGAUGUAUAACUCGCAUCUGAAACUUUUGGACCCAGAAGAAAAUGUCAUUGAAAUCUUGAUCUUAUUGUAUAGGGUGAUGACUUGCUGGGCUAAUGUUAGUCUGUAGGAAAAAAAGUUCUACACCUUGACGGGACAAACAAAAGUGAAAUUUUCUUACUCAAGGCAGAAAUUAGAAUGGAUUUAAUCUGAGGCAGACUUUGAACAAAAAAAAAAAAAAAAAAAUUAGAAUUUCUUGUUUAAAGACUGCUCAGUAGGAAUUCCCUGGUUAAGGAUCCAAUAUGGUCUCCCGUGGCUCUGGUUAGUGCUAUGGCAUGGGUUUGAUCUCUAGGCCAAAAUGUCCUCAUGCCAUGAGUGUGGCCAAAAAUAUUUUUUUUAAAUAAAAAAUAAAAUAAAACAGCUGAAAGACUGCUUGGUAGCCAGAGUGAGGGAUUUCUAAUGGUAGAUCUGAAAGCCUUUUCAGGUCAGUCUCAAUUAUUUAUUAAAUGAGCAUAAGAAGCAAAUGACUAAAUGAUGACUCAUAUUAAUUUUCUAGGGCUUCCAUUAAGUGCCAUAGACUGGGUGGCUUGAAAAUCGAAAUUUAUUGUCUCACAGUUCUGGAGGCUAAAAGUUCAAAAGCAAGAUAUUGGCAUCUUGAAGACUGGUUCUCUGAUGACUGUGAAGGAAGGAUCUGUUCCUGGUUUUCCUCCUUGACUUGGAGAUGGCUGUCUUCUCCCUGUGUUUUCACAUCAACCUCCUUCCAUAUUUAUCUGUCUCUAAAUUUUCCCUUUAAUGAGGACACCAGUCAUAGUGGAUUAGGGCCCAACUUAUAUCCUCGUUUUAACUUGCUUAGCUCUGUGAAGAUCCUUUCUCCAAAUACCAUCACAUUCUGAGCUACUGGGGUUAGACUUCAACAUAUGAAUUUGAGAUGGGGCUGGUGGGUAUAAUUCAACUGAAUUUCAUAACAGUUCUCAAACUUGCAAGUGUCUGCUAGAUGCCAUGCUGCUAGCUCAGCAAAAGAGGGACCAAAAGAUAUUGUAUUUUGUGUCUUUGACAAUCAGGUUUGGAUGCAGGUAGGAAAAACAUUACUUGGACACAGAAUGUUGCUAGUAGGAGCUCACUGGAGGUUCAGGAAGUACUGGAAGCAGAAAGGUUUAUUGCUUCUUAUAAAUGUAAUGUGACAAGUUCACCCAUGGACCAAAUGAAGUAAAUGCAUGGAGGGCCAAAUGCAUGGAGUCAUGCUAUUGCUAGAAAAUUAUCCUCACUACAACUUGACUUCAGUUUUCAGGGCAUGUAGCUUCUGGGGCAUCACCUGUGUGCCAUCUGUAUCCUACUCUCUACCCCAUGGUAUUUUCUCUGUUCUUUCAUUACACAUGGGCAGGAGAUCUAAAAAGAAAAAUAAAACUAAAGUGAACAAACAGACGAACAUAAGACCCUCGGAAGCCUGUGUAUGUCCAGGAAUAAUAGGUAGAAUAUGAAGCAAAUCUCUCACAGUAAGAGCUGUCAUUUAAAAUAGAUGUCUUUAAGGUUUUGUCUGUUAAAGUAGCAUGUGGAUUCUGUAAGCAUGGUGUCUUUUCGCAUCCAUUUUCUAACUGUAAGAUGUAUAAAAUAAUACACACAUUGGUUUUGUUGUUAACAAAUCUUAUUUUAAAAAGACAAUAUGGAAGGGAGUUCCCGUUGUGGCUCAGUGGAAAUGAAUCCAUGAGAACACAGGUUCUGUCCCUGGCCUUGCUCAGUGGGUUAAAGGAUUUGGCAUUGCCUGGGCUGUGGUGUAGGUUGGCAACUGCAGCUCUGAUUCAACCCCUAGCCUGGGAACUUCCAUAUGCUGCAGGUGCGGCCCUAAAAA